rnacentral:rRNA from 1 species
AAAGCUCAAAUUUAAAAUCUGGUGGUCUUUGGCCUACCCGAGUUGUAAUCUAGAGAAGCGUUAUCUGCGCUGGACCGUGUAUAAGUCUCCUGGAAUGGAGCGUCAUAGAGGGUGAGAAUCCCGUCUUUGACACGGACUACCAGGGCUCUUUGUGAUGCGCUCUCAAAGAGUCGAGUUGUUUGGGAAUGCAGCUCUAAAUGGGUGGUUAAAUUCCAUCUAAAGCUAAAUAUUGGCGAGAGACCGAUAGCGAACAAGUACCGUGAGGGAAAGAUGAAAAGAACUUUGGAAAGAGAGUUAAACAGUACGUGAAAUUGUUGAAAGGGAAACGCUUGAAGUCAGUCGCAUGGCCCAGGGAUCAACCCUGCUUUUUUUGCUUGGUGUAUUUUCUGGUUGAUGGGUCAGCAUCAAUUUUGACCAGUGGAAAAAGGUCGAGGGAAUGUGGCAUCUUCGGAUGUGUUAUAGCCUUUGGCUGCAUACAUUGGUUGGGAUUGAGGAACUCAGCACGCCGCAAGGCCGGGUUGUUUCAACCACGUUCGUGCUUAGGAUGCUGGCAUAAUGGCUUUAAUCGACCCGUCUUGAAACACGGACCAAGGAGUCUAACAUACCUGCGAGUGUUUGGGUGGAAAACCCAAGCGCGCAAUGAAAGUGAAAGUUGGGAUCUCUGUCGUGGGGAGCACCGACGCCCGGACCAGACCUUCUGUGACGGAUCCGCGGUAGAGCAUGUAUGUUGGGACCCGAAAGAUGGUGAACUAUGCCUGAAUA